rnacentral:rRNA from 1 species
GACGAACGCUGGCGGCGUGCUUAACACAUGCAAGUCGAACGGUGAAGCGCCUUCCUUUUUGGUGGGUGUGGAUGAGUGGCGAACGGGUGAGUAACACGUGAGUAACCUGCCCCCUUCUUCUGGAUAACCGCAUGAAAGUGUGGCUAAUACGGGAUAUUCUGGGUCUGUCGCAUGAUGGGUCUGGGAAAGAUAUUGUUUCGGUGGGGGAUGGGCUCGCGGCCUAUCAGUUUGUUGGUGGGGUGAUGGCCUACCAAGGCGGUGACGGGUAGCCGGCCUGAGAGGGUGGACGGUCACACGGGGACUGAGACACGGCCCAGACUCCUACGGGAGGCAGCAGUGGGGAAUAUUGCACAAUGGGCGCAAGCCUGAUGCAGCGACGCCGCGUGAGGGAUGGAGGCCUUCGGGUUGUGAACCUCUUUCGCCAGUGAAGCAGGCCUGCCUCGUUUGUGGGUGGGUUGACGGUAGCUGGAUAAGAAGCGCCGGCUAACUACGUG